UAGGGAAUAUUGGUCAAUGGGUGAGAGCCUGAACCAGCCAUGCCGCGUGCAGGAAGAAGGCCUUCUGGGUUGUAAACUGCUUUUGCCAGGGGAUAAAAAUACCUUGCGAGGUAAAUUGAAGGUACCUGGUGAAUAAGCCACGGCUAACUACGUGCCAGCAGCCGCGGUAAUACGUAGGUGGCAAGCGUUGUCCGGAUUUAUUGGGUUUAAAGGGUGCGUAGGCGGCCCUGUAAGUCAGUGCUGAAAUAUCCCAGCUUAACUGGGAGGGUGGUAUUGAUACUGCGGGGCUAGAGUACAGAUGAGGUAGGCGGAAUUGACGGUGUAGCGGUGAAAUGCUUAGAUAUCGUCAAGAACACCUAUAGCGAAGGCAGCUUACUAGGCUGUAACUGACGCUGAGGCACGAAAGUGUGGGGAUCAAACAGGAUUAGAUACCCUGGUAGUCCACACUGUAAACGUUGAUUACUCGCUGUGUGCGAUAUACAGUACGCGG
rnacentral:rRNA from 1 species